UUUGAACCAGCGAACAAUUCAGUUGCGAGAUUCGAGGUUUCAGUCUGAAUCAU
rfam:Sauropus yellowing virus isolate THSP1-B P0, P1-P2 fusion protein, P1, P3-P5 readthrough protein, P3, and P4 genes, complete cds